UACGGGAAGGGGCUAGCGUUGUUCGGAUUUACUGGGCGUAAAGCGCACGUAGGCGGAUUGGUCAGUUAGGGUGAAAUCCCAGAGGCUCAACUCUGGAACUGCCUUUAAUACUGCCAGUCGUAGAGUCCGGAAGAGGUGAGUGGAACUCCUAGUGUAGAGGUGGAAUUCGUAGAUAUUAGGAAGAACACCAGUGGCGAAGGCGGCUCACUGGUCCGGUACUGACGCUGAAGGUGGCGAAAGCGGUGGGAGCAAACAGG
rnacentral:rRNA from 1 species